GACGAACGCUGGCGGCGUGCUUAACACAGGCAAGUCGAGCGGUAAGGCCCCUUCGGGGGUACACGAGCGGCGAACGGGUGAGUAACACGUGGGUGACCUGCCCUCAGCUCUGGGAUAAGCCUGGGAAACUGGGUCUAAUACCGGAUAUGACUCCAUGACGCAUGUCGUGGGGUGGAAAGCCUUGUGCGGCUGGGGAUGGGCCCGCGGCCUAUCAGCUUGUUGGUGGGGUGAUGGCCACCAAGGCGACGACGGGUAGCCGGCCUGAGAGGGCGACCGGCCACACUGGGACUGAGACACGGCCCAGACUCCUACGGGAGGCAGCAGUGGGGAAUCUUGCGCAAUGGGCGAAAGCCUGACGCAGCGACGCCGCGUGAGGGAUGACGGCCU
rnacentral:rRNA from 1 species